rnacentral:lncRNA from 1 species
AAGUCUCCGAUGCACUCAGGCAUUUAAUGAACACGACCCAAGACGAUCUCCGGAUCACUGAACCAUCAGAGCGUAUGGCUCUACCUGACCGCCGGUUCAUUCGGUAAUAAAUGCACUUACCAUCCACAGACCCCAGGCCCGCUACGGCCGGCGGUUCAACCACUCCAACAGGUCCGAUCGACCGUGACAACUCCCUGGUUCCGGUCUGAUUCGGCCCCGUUCUCCACUAUGCCAUAAAUGGGCCAAAU